AUUGAACGCUGGCGGCAGGCCUAACACAUGCAAGUCGAGCGGCAGCACAGAGAAACUUGUUUCUCGGGUGGCGAGCGGCGGACGGGUGAGUAAUGCCUGGGAAAUUGCCCUGAUGUGGGGGAUAACCAUUGGAAACGAUGGCUAAUACCGCAUGAUGCCUACGGGCCAAAGAGGGGGACCUUCGGGCCUCUCGCGUCAGGAUAUGCCCAGGUGGAUUAGCUAGUUGGUGAGGUAAGGGCUCACCAAGGCGACGAUCCCUAGCUGGUCUGAGAGGAUGAUCAGCCACACUGGAACUGAGACACGGUCCAGACUCCUACGGGAGGCAGCAGUGGGGAAUAUUGCACAAUGGGCGCAAGCCUGAUGCAGCCAUGCCGCGUGUGUGAAGAAGGCCUUCGGGUUGUAAAGCACUUUCAGUUGUGAGGAAGGUGGUGUCGUUAAUAGCGGCAUCAUUUGACGUUAGCAACAGAAGAAGCACCGGCUAACUCCGUGCCAGCAGCCGCGGUAAUACGGAGGGUGCGAGCGUUAAUCGGAAUUACUGGGCGUAAAGCGCAUGCAGGUGGUUUGUUAAGUCAGAUGUGAAAGCCCGGGGCUCAACCUCGGAACUGCAUUUGAAACUGGCAGACUAGAGUACUGUAGAGGGGGGUAGAAUUUCAGGUGUAGCGGUGAAAUGCGUAGAGAUCUGAAGGAAUACCGGUGGCGAAGGCGGCCCCCUGGACAGAUACUGACACUCAGAUGCGAAAGCGUGGGGAGCAAACAGG
rnacentral:rRNA from 1 species